CGAUAACUAGAUCUUGUGGGCGAUAGUUUCUUUGAUAGUGAUCCCAUACUGCAUCUCUAGAAACAGCAUUGAUAGUUGCUGGAGUUCCACCGAUAGGUCUACCUAGUGGAUGUCCACCGAGAACCGCUUCGAAGAAUUCUUCAUGAGCAACAUCUUGAGGGUCGUCAUCAUUCAUUGCUAGUUCUUCAAGAAUUACUGUUCUUUCGUUCUCAAACUCAACUGGAUCAAUAACAGAUGAGGUGAGCAUGU
rnacentral:rRNA from 1 species